CCUACGGGUGGCAGCAGUGAGGAAUAUUGGUCAAUGGACGAGAGUCUGAACCAGCCAAGCCGCGUGAAGGAUGACUGUGCUAUGGGUUGUAAACUUCUUUUAUAUGGGAAUAAAAUGUUGCUCGUGUGGGUUUCUGUAUGUACCAUAUGAAUAAGGAUCGGCUAACUCCGUGCCAGCAGCCGCGGUAAUACGGAGGAUCCGAGCGUUAUCCGGAUUUAUUGGGUUUAAAGGGAGCGUAGGCGGAUUGUUAAGUCAGUUGUGAAAGUGUGCGGCUCAACCGUAAGAUUGCAGUUGAAACUGGCAGUCUUGAGUACAGUAGAGGUGUGCGGAAUGCGUGGUGUAGCGGUGAAAUGCUUAGAUAUCACGAAGAACUCCGAUUGCGAAGGCAGCUCACUGGACUGCAACUGACACUGAGGCUCGAAAGUGUGGGUAUCAAACAGGAUUAGAUACCCUAGUAGUC
rnacentral:rRNA from 1 species